CCUACGGGUGGCAGCAGUGAGGAAUAUUGGUCAAUGGCCGGAAGGCUGAACCAGCCAAGCCGCGUGAAGGACGAAGGUGCCAAGCAUUGUAAACUUCUUUUGUCAAGGGACAAAAUCAGGCUCGAGAGCCUGACCGAGGGUACUUGAAGAAAAAGCAUCGGCUAACUCCGUGCCAGCAGCCACGGUAAUACGGAGGAUGCGAGGUUUUCCCGGUUUUAUUGGGUUAAAGGGGUGCGUAGGUGGGCGAUUAAUUCAGCGGUAAAAGCCCGGGGCUCAACCCCGGCGAGCCGUUGAUACUGGCUGGCUUGAGAUGUCGAGAGGUAGGCGGAAUGCGCAGUGUAGCGGUGAAAUGCUUAGAUAU
rnacentral:rRNA from 1 species